AGGAUGAACGCUGGCGGUGUGCCUAGUACAUGCAAGUCGAACGAGAUCUUCGGAUCUAGUGGCGAACGGGUGAGUAACACGUUGGUACCUACCCCUAAGUGGGGAAUAACUGCCCGAAAGGGUGGCUAAUACCGCAUAAUCCCGCAAGGGUAAAGCAGUAAUGCGCUUAGGGAGGGGCCUGCGUCUGAUUAGCUAGUUGGUAGGGUAAUGGCCUACCAAGGCGACGAUCAGUAGCUGGAUCGAGAGGUUGACCAGCCACACUGGGACUGAGACACGGCCCAGACUCCUACGGGAGGCAGCAGUGGGGAAUCUUGCGCAAUGGGCGAAAGCCUGACGCAGCAACGCCGCGUGAGGGACGAAGGCCUUCGGGUUGUAAACCUCUUUCAGCAGGGACGAUUGUGACGGUACCUGCAGAAGAAGCCCCGGCCAACUACGUGCCAGCAGCCGC
rnacentral:rRNA from 1 species